AUUAGAGUUUGAUCCUGGCUCAGGAUGAACGCUGGCGGUAUGCUUAACACAUGCAAGUCGAACGGGCUCUUCGGAGCUAGUGGCGGACGGGUGAGUAACGCGUGAGAAUCUGGCUUCAGGUUCGGGACAACAGUUGGAAACGGCUGCUAAUACCGGAUGUGCCUGUGGGUGAAAGAUUUAUCACCUGAAGAUGAGCUCGCGUCUGAUUAGCUAGUAGGUGUGGUAAGAGCGCACCUAGGCGACGAUCAGUAGCUGGUCUGAGAGGAUGAUCAGCCACACUGGGACUGAGACACGGCCCAGACUCCUACGGGAGGCAGCAGUGGGGAAUUUUCCGCAAUGGGCGAAAGCCUGACGGAGCAAUACCGCGUGAGGGAGGAAGGCUCUUGGGUUGUAAACCUCUUUUCUUAGGGAAGAAAACAUGACGGUACCUGAGGAAUAAGCAUCGGCUAACUCCGUGUCAGCAGCCGCGGUAAUACGGAGGAUGCAAGCGUUAUCCGGAAUGAUUGGGCGUAAAGCGUCCGCAGGUGGCAAUGUAAGUCUGCUGUCAAAGCGUCUGGCUCAACCAGAUAAAGGCAGUGGAAACUACAUAGCUAGAGUAAGGUAGGGGUAGAGGGAAUUCCUGGUGUAGCGGUGAAAUGCGUAGAGAUCAGGAAGAACACCGGUGGCGAAAGCGCUCUGCUGGACCUUAACUGACACUGAGGGACGAAAGCUAGGGGAGCGAAUGGGAUUAGAUACCCCCAGUAGUCCUAGCCGUAAACGAUGGGUACUAGGCGUUGCCCGUAUCGACCCGGGCAGUGUCGUAGCUAACGCGUUAAGUAUCCCGCCUGGGGAGUACGCAGGCAACUGUGAAACUCAAAGGAAUUGACGGGGGCCCGCACAAGCGGUGGAGUAUGUGGUUUAAUUCGAUGCAACGCGAAGAACCUUACCAGGGCUUGACAUGUCCGGAAUCUCAGGGAAACUUGAGAGUGCCUUCGGGAGCCGGAACACAGGUGGUGCAUGGCUGUCGUCAGCUCGUGUCGUGAGAUGUUGGGUUAAGUCCCGCAACGAGCGCAACCCUCGUUCUUAGUUGCCAUCAUUAAGUUGGGAACUCUAAGGAGACUGCCGGUGACAAACCGGAGGAAGGUGGGGAUGACGUCAAGUCAGCAUGCCCCUUACGCCCUGGGCUACACACGUACUACAAUGCUAUGGACAAAGGGCAGCAAGCGGGCAACCGCAAGCAAAUCUCGCAAACCAUGGCUCAGUUCAGAUCGCAGGCUGCAACUCGCCUGCGUGAAGGUGGAAUCGCUAGUAAUUGCAGGUCAGCAUACUGCAGUGAAUUCGUUCCCGGGCCUUGUACACACCGCCCGUCACACCAUGGAAGCUGGUCACGCCCGAAGUCGUUACCCUAACCUUUCGAGGAGGGGGACGCCGAAGGUAGGACUGGUGACUGGGGUGAAGUCGUACAAGGUAACCAAU
rnacentral:rRNA from 1 species